rnacentral:lncRNA from 1 species
AAACAACUGAUUCAGUUAAACAAAUUUUUAUCAUGUUAGAAACAAAUUCAAAAUCCCCACUUACUGUUGUGAGAGAUUAUCGCCUUUCCAAACAUAAGGAAGAGAUGGUGCUCAUGGAUGGACAGUUCACUACAGAGUUCAUAACUCCAGUGGAUAUUACAUGCCACUAGGGAAUCACUGUUGGUUGUUAAGCCCCUUUCUAGCCAAUUCAGAACCUUUCCUUUCAAAUUUUUGAGCCACAGGUGUUGUUCUUGUUUCCCUCAUUACAUGGAAUCCUAUGAGCAAGCUAUUAAAGAAGCCCAACUACAUUAAAUUAAAUAGAAUGUCAUAAGUAAUGGAACAAAAGGAAUGGAAAACAGAAAGUACAAGCCAAAUAUAGGGAACCUCCCAAAUAUAGCGCACAAUACAUGAGAUGCCCACAUAUCCUACCUUAACAUUCAACAAUGUACAUAGCUCUCCAAAACUCAUUGAGGCAACUAUAAAUUUACCCCGGCCAGGUCACAACGACAUCAUCACUAAAACAUAGCUACUGCCUACUGGGUGAGUUCAUUAAAAAAAAAAAAGAUCCCUGAGAUCAAUGAAGAUCAAACGUUUUCACAUUAUGUCUUGGUAUUCUCCUUCAAUGCCAAGAAAAAGGAAGCCAGUGAUCCUUGAUGUAUUUUUCCUCAUAAACAGAAUUGUAUGUUUAGCUAAACAUUGGAAGCUAAAAGGAUAAAGAUGAUUGUUAGAAACUACUACUAUAUCAUAUUACAAGCAUAAGACUAGGAUAGAAGUUAUAUUUACUAGGCUUCAUCUGUCAAUGCUAAAUGAAAAUCACAAUAAACGUGCUGGCUGUCCUUUUGGGGGAAAAUGCAGCUUAUUAUGUCUUUUGUUGUUCCAGUUAGUAACAUCUAAGUGAUCUAACCAUUGGUAAAACCAAAAAAGCAACCAGCUCAUUUAUAGGCCACCAAGUCAACAAAGUUUUAGAUUUCGUUGGCAAAGGGAGGGUAAGAGGUAGCAUUCCAGGAUCCCUUGGCCUUCCAAACACGGUAUGAGUCUUCCCUGACCCACUAGACCCCAGUGCCACUAACAUUCCAUUUCUACCCUUAAGAAACUCCUCCACUAUGGGUCUCACCUUCUCUCAUAAACUUCAAACUAGAACCACGAUCAAACUGUUUGCUAGGAGAACCACCAAUUAUGAAAACAUUGUGAGAGUUAGAAUACCGUUACGAUUACCUGGAAUGUACCCUCGGCCUUCCAAUCAGGUUCUUUCUGCCGCAUUACAUGUCAAU